AUUGAACGCUGGCGGCAGGCUUAACACAUGCAAGUCGAACGAGUGGCGGACGGGUGAGUAAUUCCUGGGAAUCUAGCUCAUGGAGGGGGAUAACUACGGGGAACUGUAGCUAAUACCGCGUACCAAAGGAUUAGCCCAAGUGGGAUAGGGGAGUUGGGGAGGUAAAGGCUCACCAAGCCGACGAUCACUAGCUGGUCUGAGCGGAUGACCGGCGACACUGGGACUGAGACACGGCCCAGACUCCUACGGGAGGCAGCAUGGGGUAAUAUUGCGCAAUGGGGGAAACCUGACGCAGCCAUGCCGGGUGAAUGAAGAAGGACUUCGGGUUGUAAAGUUCUUUCGGUGGCGAGGCGUUAACUACAGAAGAAGCACCGGCUAACUCCGUGCCAGCAGCCGCGGUAAUAC
rnacentral:rRNA from 1 species